UACACUUCAGGUUGUUUUUCCUGAGUACUCUCAGGAAGUGUAGUCGCUGCUGUGCCUUCUUGACUAUUGCUGAGGUGUUGGCAGACCAUGACAGGUCAUCUGUUAAGUGGGCUCCUAGGAGCUUGAAGGUGUGGACCUUCUCCACACAGUCCCCGUUGAUGUGGAGUGGACCUUCUCCACACAGUCCAUGUUGAUGUGGAGUGGGGCCAGAUCUGCACUUUGCCUCCUGUAGUCCACAAUUAUUUAUUUUGUUUUUAUGGUGUUCAGUGACAGAUUGUUGUCUGAGCACCACACUGUCAGUUUCUGUACCUCAUCUCUGUACGCUGAUUCGUCGACUCCUGAGAUGAGUCCAAUCACAAUGGUGUCAUCAGCAAAUUGGAUGAUGGUGCUGGUAGGAUGGGUCGGAGUACAGUCAUGUGUGUACAAGGAGUAUAGUAGUGGGCUCAGCACACAGCCCUGUGGAGAGCAGGUGCUUAGCGUGAUGGUGGAGGAGAGGUGGGGGCUGAGCUUCACAGUUUGUGGGCGGUUUGUAAAGAAGUAUUUUAUCCAGGUGCAGAUGGAGGGGGAGAGGCGUAGUGCAGUUAGUUUGCUGACUAGUAUGUCUGGGAUGAUGGUAUUGAAUGCUGAGCUGUAGUCUAUGAAGAGCAAUUUACAUACUGCUCUAGCAGUACUAUACAGGGCCCUGUCAAACUGGAGAGCAAGGAGCGGCUGCGUCCGUCCGCACCGCCAUUUUGGACCAUAAUACUCAUAGUUAUACUUAUAAUUUACAUGAGAGUUCAUGGUCCUAAAAUUUGCAGACGACACAUCAGUCAUCGGCCUCAUCCGUGAUGAUGAUGAGUCUGCAUAUAGGCGGGAAGUUGAACAGCUGGUCCUGUGGUGCGGUCGCAACAACCAAGAGCUGAACACGCUUAAAACCGUGGAGAUGACAGUGGACUUCAGGAGGAGCCCCCCAGCACUGCCCCCCCUCACCAUAUACAAUACUGUGUUGGCUGUGGAAUCCUUCAGGUUUCUGUGAUCCACAAUCUCCCGGAACCUGAAGUGGGAACCCAACAUCAACACAAUCAUCAAGAAGGCCCAGCAGAGGAUAUUCUUCCUGCGCCAGCUUUGGAAGUACAACCUGCCUCAGGAGCUGCUGAUCAUGUUCUACACCGCAGUCAUAGAGUCUGUUCUGUGCACUUCAAUCACUGUCUGGUUUGGAUCGGCCACCAAACUGGAUAAGAACAGACUCCAACGGACAGUCAGGUCUGCAGAAAAGAUCAUCAGUGCCAACCUUCCCACCAUCCAAGACCUGUACACCUCCAGAGUCAGGAAACAGGCAGGAAACACUGCAGACCCCUCACACAAACUAUUCAAACUCCUUCCCUCUGGUAGACGCUACAGAUCACUGUUCGCCAAAACCUCCAGACACAAAAACAGUUUCUUCCCCCUCGCCGUCUCACUACUGAACAGCUAACCCACUGUAGCAUAUAUAGCAUAUAUAUUUAUCCCUGCACUUCUUGCACUCUCCACUUCUUUUUUGCACUAUUGUUGUGUAACAUUUCACAGCUACUGUAUAUAGCCAUUCCGCCUUGUAUACAUUUUUGUUAAACUUCUUAGACCGUUGCACUGUUUGUUUUGUAUUGUAUUGUGUUGUAUAUUAUAUAUAUGUAUAUUUUGUGUAAGCACAUUGAGAGCCACUUUACCAAGUCAAAUUCCUUGUUUGUGCAAACUUACUUGGCCAAUAAAACCUGAUUCUGAUUCGGUUUGGUUACUGUGUAGUUCCCGUACUUUCCCCAGAUCUAGUUUUAACACAUGGAACCUGGGAUGCUUUGGCUACCCUUGUUGUAGUAGCCACAUAGUUAUAUAUAUAUAUAUAUAUAUAUAUAUAUAUACCCUUUUUAUAUAUGUCUGAUAGUUUUCCUUCUGUUCACCUUCCUGCAGUGUGCGUGUCAGUGGUUGUUCUACUGUGGGUGUGUGUGUGGGUGUGUGUGUGUGUAGAUCUCACCUGGGGAUACUUCAGUGUGUGUGUGUGUGUUAAUUAAUUGCCCACCCCUGACCAAGAUCAACACACACACACACACACACACACAACCAAGAUCAACACAAACUACAGACGGCCAUGAGAUUUAAAACGUACUAAAAUUUAAUCAUCCAUAAAAGCUGGAACAGUUCUUGACGGAACACAAGAAGCAAUAUUAGAGUUGGUUUAAUAGAAUAUAUUUUAGCUUCAAGACAUAGAAAUAGAUCCUUGUACUCCCCCCCCUCCCCCUCCCCUUGUCACCUCUAUAAAAGACCUAUUUUUCUUACACAUUAUUCUGCAAAAAUGGCAUUACAACAGUAUGUUAUGGGAACUAUGAAAAGCCAAGUGACUAGGUAUAAAAUAAUGUCACGUUGGAAUAUCUGCUGAAGAGAAUGUCCAUACACGUUCGGGAGACAAAAGAACAUCUAUUUACAGGGUCGGUAGUGGGGCCUAUUGCACACACACACACACACACACGCUGAUCUGUAUUGGGGCCUAGUGCGCACACACACACACACACACGCUGAUGUACAAAAACAGAAGCAUGGCUUCAAGGAGGCGAAACUUCAACUUGGUUCCACUUGCAACACCUACACAUAAUUACAGAUGUGGUCAUGCUGUUUAUUCAUAAGUAUCAACAAUCAACACAACUACACUCCUCACCUUCCAUGUUUUCAAAUAAACUAUAUCGCAAGAACGAAAAUACUGUCAAGUCUCUCUCCUAUACGUCUUCAAGCUUCCGUUGCCAAACACUGCCCUCUGGUGUGGGGAGCGUGUCAUAGCCUCGAAUUCAUAGUGGUGAUGGGAAAUUAAGUUGUUUUUUUUUUUUUUUUUGCUGUAUGUUUGCUGAUAUUAAAACCAAGAGGAAUCCUGCUGGGAUUCUGAUGCGUUGCGCUCUCUCUCUCUCUCGCUCUCUCUGAGGCCAGUCUUGGUAAUGGAGUCGGUUUCUUCUGGUCCACCGCAAGGGUAGCAGGGCUGGGGAAGGCUGGCACGGUCCAAUGGGGCAAUAGUUCUUCAAUACAGCACUCUGCCAGAGAAGAACAAACUUUAGGGACAAGCGCAAACGCAAACACACACACACACACACACACACACACACACACACACACACACACACACACACACACACACACACACACACACACACACACACACACACACACACGUGGCGUGGCCAUCGACACAAACGCUUAAAGGAAUCAUGGUGUUCAUGUGUUUCUAUUAAUGACAGCCAGCAGUCAAUAUAACAACUAAACAUCGGAACAUGUCUUUUUAUGACAAUUAUCCACAAAGUGUGCAGCUUUUGUCGCUGCAGUGGUGUAUCUUUCUGGGCUUCUGGAAGAACAUUUUUUUAAAUAUUUGCGGCCUAAAAUUCCUGAUUUCGCAGGAGCUUUUCCAAAAAUUACAAAGAGGACAAUUCACAACUUUUUAUCGCAACUUUCACUUGUUUCGUCAAUUUAAUUGCAACAAAAACCUAAAAAUAAAAACUUUCAUUGCAAAUGAAAGUUUUUAUUUUUAGGUUUUUGUUGCAAUUAAAUUGACGAAACAAGUGAAAGUUGCGAUAAAAAGUUGUGAAUUGUCCUCUUUGUAAUUAUAAUUGAGUUAUGUGUUGAAAAAUAAUUGAUUAAUAAACAAACAUUAAUUCAUCAAGAACAAAACGAUUGAGAAAUGGUCCUCUUAAUAACCUCACCAAUAUGCCAAA
ensembl:lncRNA